GACGAACGCUGGCGGCGUGCUUAACACAUGCAAGUCGAACGGAAAGGCCCUGAUUUUGUGGGGUGCUCGAGUGGCGAACGGGUGAGUAACACGUGAGUAACCUGCCCUUGACUUUGGGAUAACUCCAGGAAACUGGGGCUAAUAUCGGAUAGGAGCUACUGCUGCAUGGGGGGGGUUGGAAAGUUUCGGCGGUUUGGGAUGGACUCGCGGCUUAUCGGCUGGAUGGUGGGGUAGUGGUGUACGAAGGCUUUGAGGGGUAGCCGGCCUGGGAGGGUGACCGGGGACAUUGGGACUGAGGGACGGACCAGAAGCCUACGGGCGGCAGUAGGGGGGAAUAUUGCACAGUGGGCGGGCGCGUGAUGCAGCGACGCCGCGUGCGGGAUGACGGGCUUCGGGUUGUAAACAGAUUUCGCCUGUGACGAAGCGGGAGUGACGGUAAUGGGUAAAGAAGCACCGGCUAACUACGUG
rnacentral:rRNA from 1 species